AUUGAACGCUGGCGGCAGGCUUAACACAUGCAAGUCGAGCGAGCGGCCGACGGGUGAGUAAUGUCUGGGAAACUGACUGAUGGAGGGGGAUAACUUAUGGAAACGGUAGCUACUACCGCAUACCAUCAGAUGAACCCAGAUGGGAGUAGCUAGUAGGUGGGGUACUGUCUCACCUACGAGACGAUCCCUAGCGGGUCUGAGAGGAGGACCAGCACCAUCGUAACUGAGACACGUGCCAGACUCCUACGGUAGGCAGCAGGGCGGAAUAUUGCACAAGGGGCGCAAGCCGGAUGCAGCCAUGCCGCGUGUGUGAAGAGGGCCUUCGGGUUGUAAAGCACUUUCAGCGAGGAGUCGUUACUCGCAGAAGAAGCACCGGCUAACUCCGUGCCAGCAGCCGCGGUAAUAC
rnacentral:rRNA from 1 species